UACGUAGGGUGCGAGCGUUGCCCGGAUUUAUUGGGCGUAAAGGGCGCGUAGGCGGCUCGGCACGUCCGUUGUGAAAUCGCCCGGCUCAACUGGGCGGGGUCAGCGGAUACGGCCGAGCUUGAGCAAGCUAGGGGGCAAUGGAAUUCCCGGUGUAGUGGUGGAAUGCGUAGAUAUCGGGAGGAACACCAGUGGCGAAGGCGGGAUCCUGGGCCAGUACUGACGCUGAGGAGCGAAAGCGUGGGGAGCAAACAGG
rnacentral:rRNA from 1 species